CCGGAGAUGCAGACAGUUUGCUGAGACUGCUAGUGCUCUAGGCUGAGACUCACACCACCACCAUGUCCUGCUACCAGUAUCGCUGAACACAUCUCUCUUCUUCAGGAAUGUGGCCGAUGACACCAGGUAUGAAGAUUUACAGUGUGAACUUGGUCAUUAUGGUCCUAUAGUUGAUGUGUAUGUUCCGCUUGAUUUCUACAUUCGCUGUCCAAGAGGAUUUGCUUAUAUUCAAUUUGAGGAUGUUUGUGAUGCUGAAGAUGCUUACAUAAUUUGGACAGAAAGUGGAUUUGUGGAUGGCAGAUUAAAAUACAGUUUGCCUAGGGGGAUCAGAAGACACUAAAUCAGAUGAAAGCCAAGGAAGGGAAGAAUGUGUACAGUUCUUCAUGCUAUGAUGAUGAUGACAGAUACAGACAUUCUAGAAGCCAAAGUUGUAAAAGAAGGAGAUCAAGAAGGCUGUCUUCUGAUUACAACUAUAGAAGGUCGUAUAGUCCUAGAAACAGUAGACCGACUGGAAGACCACACAUAGCAGAAGCCAUUCCAAAUAUGAUAGAUUCAAACACUGAAAUUAAUCUUUUUCAAAAUCUAAAUCCAAUUCAAGAUCACGGUCCAAGUCCCAGCCCAAGAGAGAAAUGAAGGCUGAAUCACAUUCUAGGUCUGCAUCUCACACCAAAACUAGAGGCACCUCAAAAAUAGAUUCCAAAACACAUUAUAAGUCUGGCUCAAGAUAUGAAAAGGAAUUAGGGAAAAAAAGAACCACCUAGAUCCAAAUCUCAGUCAAAAUCACAGUCUAUGUUUAGGUCAAAAUCGGUAUCAAGGUCUUGGACUAGUCCUAUGCUCAGUGGCCAUUGACAGUAUAAACCAUGAUCAUUUUUAGGCGUGUGUCAUUCACUUAUUCAUAGUUUGGUUUACCUAAAUUAUCAGGAAUACAGUGUUGCAAUGAUGAUUAAAAAGACACUUGUUAGUUUUCCCUGUACCAGGCAAUGAUCAUAAUCAAAAUGAUAUGCUGUUGAGAAGCCACUCUUAAGAGUCCAGUUUGUUUAAUGUUAUGAGCAGCCACCAAUUUGUGGUGUCUCUGUAUAUUUUUGUAAAGAUUCUCAUUUUUAUGCUUGAAGUAUUUGGUGAAAAGAUGUGGUUGACCAUAAUUUGCAACAUUCUUUUAUUAAAAAUAAACUUUCAUAUUUGUAUUUGGUAGAACCGUUAACCUAGAAAUGUAGCUUGUUAAUAAGAAUGACACAAAAAUGAAGUCAUAGCUACAGUACAACACUGACUGCUCAGACACAUUUAGGUUCAGGGCAGGCCUUUAUGUCUUGUCAAGGUGUCUU
rnacentral:lncRNA from 1 species